rnacentral:rRNA from 1 species
GACGAACGCUGGCGGCGUGCUUAACACAUGCAAGUCGAGCGGUAAGGCCCUUCGGGGUACACGAGCGGCGAACGGGUGAGUAACACGUGGGUGAUCUGCCCUGCACUUCGGGAUAAGCCUGGGAAACUGGGUCUAAUACCGGAUAUGACCAUUGAUCGCAUGGUUGGUGGUGGAAAGAUUUAUCGGUGCAGGAUGGGCCCGCGGCCUAUCAGCUUGUUGGUGGGGUAAUGGCCUACCAAGGCGACGACGGGUAGCCGGCCUGAGAGGGCGAUCGGCCACACUGGGACUGAGACACGGCCCAGACUCCUACGGGAGGCAGCAGUGGGGAAUAUUGCACAAUGGGCGAAAGCCUGAUGCAGCGACGCCGCGUGAGGGAUGACGGCCUUCGGGUUGUAAACCUCUUUCAGCAGGGACGAAGCGCAAGUGACGGUACCUGCAGAAGAAGCACCGGCCAACUACGUGCCAGCAGCCGCCGUAA